ACUCGUUUCUUAGUAAUACUUUGUUUCG
rnacentral:misc_RNA from 1 species